GUGCUUGCUUCGGCAGCACGUAUACUAAAAUUGGAAUGAUAUAAAGAUUAGCAUGGCCCCUGCGCAAGGAUGACACACAAAUUCGUGAAGCGUUCCAUAUUCUG
rnacentral:snRNA from 1 species